rnacentral:rRNA from 1 species
UACGAAGGGGGCUAGCGUUGCUCGGAAUCACUGGGCGUAAAGGGUGCGUAGGCGGGUCUUUAAGUCAGGGGUGAAAUCCUGGAGCUCAACUCCAGAACUGCCUUUGAUACUGGCGAUCUCGAGUCCGGGAGAGGUGAGUGGAACUGCGAGUGUAGAGGUGAAAUUCGUAGAUAUUCGCAAGAACACCAGUGGCGAAGGCGGCUCACUGGCCCGGUACUGACGCUGAGACGCGAAAGCGUGGGGAGCGAACAGG